CCUGUUGUACAUGCACUUGUUCGUAAAGGAUGUUUCUCAACAGCACGCAUGUACAAUUUCAAAAUCUGUGCCAUUAUGUAAUUUCAAUGCUAUACACUAAUUGUCAUUGAAUAUAUUCCGAUUGUUAAAAUCACGUGGGAGACAUAGUGUCUUGGUCUGGUUCUACAAGUUAAAGAGAUGUAUCAGGAGGAAAGACUGUCAGAAAUUUGUAAACCAGGAACCAGAUAAAAUUCUAAAAACCUUCUCGUAAACCGAAAACAAUAGUUCUUUUUACGGAAAAACUACUUACAAGUAUGAGGUUCUGGACGGAUAUUUAUACAGAUUAGAGAAUGAACCCGCAAUACUAAAGAUGCUCUUUAUGAGGUUAUGCACAUAAUUAUUACAUCUUGAAAGGCUAUUAAUUUUUUGUCUUUGACGCCUUCCUAUCAUUUUUUUUAAAUAGCCGUCCAACAUGUCCAAGACGUCAUAAUUAUUUGGACUACUGCCUGACAAGAUUUUUUUUUUAUCAAAUUGGGGUUCAGAAUAUUUUUAAAGAAAAAACAUAAGACCAUUGGCCUUGCCGAACUUAAA
rnacentral:lncRNA from 1 species